rnacentral:lncRNA from 1 species
UUGAUCCAAAGCUCUUUACUCAAUCAAAUUGAGUCAAAAGAUAAUUUAAUUACUAAUUAAUUUUUUAUUAAUAGUAGAGUCUUAGUCCCAGUGGGACUCUCCUCCAAAGUUUCAAUCCUAGUGGGACUCCUCACCAGAGUCACAAUCCAAUUGGACUCUUCAGUCAUUAGAUUUGACCAAAUCUUCUAAUGCGUGUGACCCCAUAGGUUUGAACCUAAAUUGAUAGCAUAAAAAUAACUUUCUAUACCAAUCAAUGUAACCAUCUAAUAAUGGUGACCCA